CGACCACAUUACUUUUAAAACACCGAACACCGAAGUUAAGCAACGUCGAGUCUGGUCAGUACCUAGAUAGGUGAUCUCUUGGGAAUACCAGGUGCUGUAAG